rnacentral:rRNA from 1 species
UACGUAGGGGGCUAGCGUUGUCCGGAAUCAUUGGGCGUAAAGCGCGUGUAGGCGGUCCGGUAAGUCCGCUGUGAAAGUCGAGGGCUCAACCCUCGAAUGCCGGUGGAUACUGUCGGGCUUGAGUACGGGAGAGGCGAGUGGAAUUUCGGGUGUAGCGGUGAAAUGCGCAGAUAUCCGAAGGAACACCGGUGGCGAAGGCGGCUUCCUGGACCGACACUGACGCUGAGGCGCGAAAGCUAGGGGAGCAAACGGG